rnacentral:rRNA from 1 species
CAAGGAGUUUUCCGCAAUGGGCGAAAGCCUGACGGAGCAACGCCGCGUGGGGGAUGACACCUUUCGGGGCGUAAACCCCUUUUCUUGGGGACGAAGCAGUGACGGUAUUCGAGGAAGAAGGCCCGGCUAACUACGUGCCAGCAGCCGCGGUAAUACGUAGGGGCCGAGCGUUGUCCGGAAUUACUGGGCGUAAAGCGCGCGCAGGCGGCUCGUCAAGCCUGACGUGAAAGCCCCCGGCUCAACCGGGGAGGGUCGUCGGGGACUGGCGAGCUUGAGGUCGGCAGGGGCUGGUGGAAUUCCCGGUGUAGUGGUGAAAUGCGUAGAGAUCGGGAGGAACACCCGUGGCGAAGGCGGCCAGCUGGGCCGGACCUGACGCUGAGGCGCGAAGGCGUGGGGAGCGAACGGG